rnacentral:rRNA from 1 species
AGGGGACGGACUGCAGCAACGAUUAGAGGUAUGCUYAGCAGAAUUAGGGGUUGUAUSGUMAGGGUUCWGUCCAGCGGAGAGGCGAGAUAAAAAAUUACUACGUCUAGAGUGUGAACCAACUCCGCCACUAACUUUGAGGAGCUACGUUACCGUAGGCUCCCAACACUAAGCAACUAAGGCUUAAGGGUUGAAAUGACGCUCGAACGGUCCUGCCCACUAGAAUACUAAUGGGCGCAAUAUGCGUUCAAAGAUUCGAUGAUUCACUGAAUUCUGCAAUUCACAUUACUUAUCGCAUUUCGCUGCGUUCUUCAUCGAUGCCAGAACCAAGAGAUCCGUUGUUGAAAGUUUUAACUUAUUUAGUUAUAGGUUCAGAAUUCAAUAUCAAACAGAGUUUGGUGGGCCGCCGGCAGGCUUAUCCGCACCUCCCGGGUAAGUCUUACAGGGUAAGACUACAAAGUAGGCGCGACCUGCCGAGGCAACGUUAAGUAUGUUCACAUGGGUUUGGGAGUUAUAGAACUCUUUAAUGAUCCCUCCGCAGGUUCACCUACGGA